rnacentral:rRNA from 1 species
UACGUAGGGGGCAAGCGUUGUCCGGAUUUAUUGGGCGUAAAGAGCGUGUAGGCGGCCAGACGGGUCCGUUGUGAAAACUCGAGGCUCAACCUCGAGAUGUCGAUGGAAACCGUCUGGCUAGAGUCCGGAAGAGGAGUGUGGAAUUCCUGGUGUAGCGGUGAAAUGCGCAGAUAUCAGGAAGAACACCUAUGGCGAAGGCAGCACUCUGGGACGGUACUGACGCUGAGACGCGAAAGCGUGGGGAGCGAACAGG